rnacentral:rRNA from 1 species
AUACAGAGGGUGCGAGCGUUAAUCGGAAUCACUGGGCGUAAAGGACGCGUAGGCGGGUUGUCAAGUCUGAUGUGAAAUCCUAUGGCUCAACCAUAGAACUGCAUUGGAAACUGGCAACCUAGAGUAUGGGAGGGGGAGAUGGAAUUAGUGGUGUAGGGGUAAAAUCCGUAGAUAUCACUAGGAAUACCGAAAGCGAAGGCGAUCUCCUGGAACAUAACUGACGCUAAGGCGUGAAAGCGUGGGGAGCAAACGGGAUUAGAAACCCCAGUAGUCC